GUGGGGAUAACUCUGGGAAACCGGAGCUAAUACCGCGUAAGUCCGAGAGGAGAAACAGCAAUGCGCAGAGAGAGGAGUCCGCGGCCGAUUAGUUAGUUGGCAGGGUAGAGCCUACCAAGACUGAGAUCGGUAGCCGGCCUGAGAGGGCACACGGCCAACUGGCACUGAAACACGGGCCAGACUCCUACGGGAGGCAGCAGUGGGGAAUUUGCACAAUGGGGGCAACCCUGAUGCAGCGACGCCGCGUGAGCGAUGAAGCCUUCGGGGUGUAAAGCUCUUUCGGCAGGGAAGAUUAUGACGGUACCUGCAGAACAGCUGCGGCUAACUACGUGCCAGCAGCCGCGGUAAUACGUAGGCAGCAAGCUUGUUCGGAGUUACUGGGCGUAAAGGGUGUGUAGGCGGUUCUCUAAGUUUGGUUGAAAUCUCCCGGCUCAACUGGGAGGGUGCGCCGAAAACUGGAGGGCUAGAGACUGGAUGGGAGAGUGGAAUUCCUGGUGUAGCGGUGAAAUGCGUAGAUAUCAGAGGAACACCUGUGGUGUAGACGGCUCUCUGGACAGUAACUGACGCUGAGACCGAAAGCGUGGGUAGCAAACAGGAUUAGAUACCCUGGUAGUCCACGCCCUAACGAUGCAUAU
rnacentral:rRNA from 1 species